rnacentral:lncRNA from 1 species
GGGGCAAGGGCUGACCGGCCGUUUGCACGCAGGCGCAGUUGUACAUGUGUGCCCAGUGCCCACUCUCCGUCCCUAAAUAUACGUCGUUUAAUAAUAUUUAUGAUACAUAAUUUAUAUCAUUAAAUGAAUAUUUAGAUUUAAUUUUUUACUAAAUUUUUAAAAUAAAAAUAUUACAAAUAUUUUUAUAAAUUGAAUCAAAAUUGUCGACAUAAGUGAAGGAUACUAUGCCUCUACGUACCUACACUUAGGGCCUUGUUUAGUUCUUUGCUGAAAUUUUUUCGGGACACUGUAGCACUUUCGUUUGUUUGUGGUAAUUAUUGUCCAAUCAUAGACUAACUAGAUUCAAAAGAUUCGUCUCGUAAAUUUCGACCAAGCUGUACAAUUAGUUUUAAAUUUAGUUUAUAUUUAAUAUUCCAUACAUGCGUCUAAACAAUUCGAUGUGACAGAGAAUCUUGAAAAGUUUUUGGAUUUUGGGUGGAAGUAAACAAGGCCCUACCAAGUGAAGCACUUGCAUUGCAGCAUACAACUACAACUCUAUAAAGUGCAUGUGCAUGCACCCACGGAAAGUUCCUCGAGCUGAUGCCUGAUGGCACAAGCACACACGCACUACACGUGCAUGCAUGCAGACUACUCCAACGAAACAAGGCCUUGUUUAGAUAUGAAAUUUUUUUGGAUUUCGGUACCGUAAUACUUUCGUUUGUUUAUACUAAAUAUUGUCCAAUAAUAGAUUAACUAAGGUCAAAAGAUUCAUCUUAUAAUUUAAAGUCAAAUUAACUAAGGGCAAAAUUAACUUUACCCGGGUUCUCAUUAUUUUUGUAUCUACGAGAACAUGCAACUGCUACUCCUCCUAGUGAUAUUUCUCGAUCGUAAUAAUGGUACGCGAGUAUUUGCUUGGUCAUGAGAUGGUUUGUCCUGGUAGAGGAAUCGUGAAUAGAACUCCUCCUAGUGAUAUUUCUCUCGAUCGUAAUAAUGGUCGCCGUCUUUAUUUUUUUUUUACAACAAAACAAUAAGUGGUACCAUUAUUACCAAUGGUAUGGUGAUUAGUGUCUGCUCGAUCGACAGCCAAUUUUUUUCUGUUUUUUUUGUGUGAACUUGUAGGAUUUUUUUAUAGUGUGACGAGCUUUGAUUAAGUUGUAGCCUCCAAUAAGUAACAGUAAUAAGAUACUUCCUCUAUUUCACGUUUUAGGUUAUUUUGUAUUUUUUGACACAUUUUUUGUAUAUACUCUAAAAUAUAAUUCAGAAUGGAAGCAGUAUAAAGAUACUCGAUAUAUGGCCUGUUUAAUCUUGAGAAAAAAGAUAUUUCGAGUAGAAGAGCACAAGUUUAUUCUUGGGUGGAAAAUACUGCUAAUUAAGGCCUUGUUUAGUUCACCCCAAAAACCAAAAAAAUUUCAAGAUUCUCUGUCACAUCGAAUCUUGCGGCACAUGCAUGAAGUAUUAAAUAGACAAAAACAAAAACUAAUUGCACAGUUUGCCUGUAAAUCAUGAGAUCAAUCUUUUGAGGCUAAUUAGUUUAUGAUUGGAUAAUAUUUGUCA